rnacentral:rRNA from 1 species
GGAAUAAGGGACGGCUAACUACGUGCCAGCAGCCGCGGUAAUACGUAGGUCCCAAGCGUUAUCCGGAUUUACUGGGCGUAAAGCGUCCGUAGCCGGCUUUGUAAGUCCGCUUUCAAAACCCGAAGCUCAACUUCGGAUCGGGAGUAGAUACUGCAAAACUAGAGAAAGAUAGAGGUAUGUAGAAUUUCAGGUGGAGGGGUGAAAUCCGUUGAUAUCUGAAGGAAUACCAAAAGCGAAGGCAGCAUGCUAUAUCUUUUCUGACGGUCAAGGACGAAAGUGUGGGGAGCGAACGGGAUUAGAUACCCCGGUAGUCCACACCGUAAAUGAUGCUCGCUAGGUGUAUAUUUCGCAUUGCGGAAUGUGUGCCGUAAGCUAACGCGUUAAGCGAGCCGCCUGAGUAGUAUAGUCGCAAGGCUGAAACUCAAAGGGAUAGGCGGGGGAACACACAAGCAGAGGAUUGUCUCGAUUAAUUGGAUAAUAAGCCAAGAAUCUUACCCCGGUUUGACAUCCUUCAAAUUCCACAGAAACGUGGAAGUGCUCGGUUCGCCGAGAAUGAAGUGACAGGUGCUGCAUGGCCGUCGUCAGCUCGUGCCGCAAGGUGUCUGGUUAAGUCCAGGAACGAGCGCAACCCUCAUCGUUAGUUAGAAUGUCUAACGAGACUGCCUCGGUAACGAGGAGGAAGGAGAGGAUGACGUCAGGUCAUUAUGGCCCUUAUGCCGGGGGCGUCAGAGACAAUACAAUGGAUAGUACAGCAGGUAGCAAUGCAGCGAUGCGGAGCCAAUCCCCAAAACUAUCCUCAGUUCGGAUUGUAGUCUGCAACUCGACUACAUGAAGUUGGAUUUGCUAGUAAUGGUGGGUCAGCCAUACCACCGUGAAUAUGUCCCUGUUCCUUGCACUCACCGCCCGUCACACCAUGGGAGUUGAGGC